AUUGAACGCUGGCGGCAGGCUUAACACAUGCAAGUCGAGCGAGCGGCGGACGGGUGAGUAAUGUCUGGGAAACUGCAUGAUGGAGGGGGAUAACUACUGAAAACGGGAGAUAAUACCGCAUACCACAAUUUGAGCCCAGAUGGGAUUAGCUAGUAGGUGGGGUAAUGGCUCACCGAGGCGACGCUCCCUCGCUGGUCAGAGAGGAUGACCGGCAAGCCUGGAACGGAGACACGGUCCGAACUCCUACGGGAGGCAGCAGUGGGGAAUAUUGCACAAUGGGCGCAAGCCUGAUGCAGCCAGGCCGCGUGUGUGAAGAGGGCCUUCGGGUUGUAAAGCACUUUCAGCGAGGAGGCGUUACUCGCAGAAGAAGCACCGGCUAACUCCGUGCCAGCAGCCGCGGUAAUUC
rnacentral:rRNA from 1 species